rnacentral:miRNA from 13 species
GUAUUAGGUUGGUGCAAAAGUAAUUGCGCUUUUUGUCAUAGAAAGUAAUGGCAAAAAUCACAAUUACUUUUGCACCAACCUAAUAUAA